GGUGCUGCCGCUCCGGUGGGCGCUGCCGGUGGCUGGGGAUGUAGACCGGCAGGAAGAGGAAGAAGCCGGUGCCCAAGAGCCCCAAACCACCCCCCCCACGAGGGCAUGAAGUCAAACCCCUCCAAGCAGCAUGGGAGUGGCUGAACCAGGAGCUGAACAAGCUGAUGGGGCUGCUGCCCUUCCCCGAGCAUGUGCGCUCCAGGCUGGAUAAACGCUCCAUGCUCCGGCUGGCCGUGGGCUACCUGAAGGUGAAGAGCUACCUGAUGGGAAAAUGUCACCAUGGAUGGUGGGAGACACUUGGGAGCCUGCCCAGCAGCUGAGACCUCCUGCAAAGUUCCUCCAUCUCA